rnacentral:lncRNA from 10 species
GGUUUAUAAAGGGCAGUUCCCCUGCACAAGCUCUCUCUGUUGUCUGCCCCCACGUAAGACAUGCCUUUCACCUUCCACCGUGAUUGUGAGGCCUCCACAGCCACAUGGAACUGACCUGUUCUGAAUGGUGCUGAAGCCCCAUGUGACAGAGUCCAUGCCCAUCAGGAGGCUGACCUUCAGGACAAGAGAGGAUGCAUUCUUAACCACAGCUGUCAAUGGCAGCCUGAUUCUUUCACGCUGAAAACCGGAUCACUGCAUCUUAUAGCAAUCGACAUUCCCAGCACAUGACCAUUCAGUCAACAACUUUUAACUGAGCAUCUACUAGGUACCAGGCCUCUGUGCUAGGCGCUGGGGGGCACAACAGUGAGUAAAUACCUGCCCACAUAGAGUGUAUUCUCUAGUGGAGGCCACGAACAAUACCCAAUGGAUAGAAAAUUUCAAGAAGACGGAAGUGAUAUGAAGACCACUAGAGAAGGGGUAGGGAGACUUUAGAUAGUGAGAGACAGUCACUUCUAUAGGACCACACCUGACUUCUCCCUGCUGUAAGUCAGGACAGUGGCAGAGAUGUGCACCCCUAGAGAUGGAUGCAUUUUGCUAAUGACAGAAGAUCCCCCUACUCACAGCCAGUAAUGUCAUCUGAGACACAGCCAGGAAGGCCCUGCAUAGCAAUAAAAGUCUUCAUUGCUCCCGUCCCUACCCUGCAACAUGUUAGUGGCACCAAGAUGUCAAAUGUCUUAGAAAAAAAUAACUUAAAAAACACUAGAGUCCAUGAACAUUGACCUAUCCUAG